CCAGGGGAAACCUGAUCCAUCCAGGGGACUGACGUUGCUGCAGAAGUGACCAGAGUUCAGGCAGACAGUGAAGGGUGGUGUGUAUGUGCUGGGGAGGGAGAGACGGUUACAAAAGAGCCUGCCAGCCAAAGGAGACACAUCUGCAGAAGCUCUGAUGCAGAAAAGUGCCUGGCAACGAGAGGGACUGAGAAAUGGCCGAUAGAUCUCAAGAGAGUGGGAAUGAGACAGGGCCAAGGAUGGGCCCCAUGAGGCUGGCGAAACAGGCGGGGGCCAUCGCAGCCGCGGUAAAGACUGCUGUUGCCAACUGAAGAGCAGGGACAAACCGUUGAAGGGUUUGAAACAAGAAAGCUACAAGGCACGGUGGUUUCACCAGAAUUCUGUGCUCACGGGCAUGGCGAAUAUGGUAGCAAGGAACAGCAACAGACACACGAAUUGCACUUCGCUUGUUCUCAGGUCUAAUUCCUCGGUGAAGAUAAAGAACCGCCGUCAGCGUUGUAGAAACAGGCAUUCCAAGCCAACAAGAGAGUGGGAGAAGAUGGCUUCCCAAGGUCAUGUGUCCCUCUCCUCAAGCCCUUCAGCGGCCUCCGCUGCUCACAGAAUACUUCUGAAUUCUGCUACCAGGUCCCACGUGGCCCGCGCCUGCCUGUCCCUCCAGCCUUACCCACACCCCUGCGGGUCUGCUGUCCUGGCCGUUUCCAGCUCCCAGAGCAAGCCGACCCGCUUCCCACCUCAGGGACUUCGUGCUGGCACUUCCCUCCUCC
rnacentral:lncRNA from 1 species